GAUCUCAGUAUUUUGUGUUUUAACAGGUUAAUCUUCAAUGUUUUGGACAUAAACAUUUAGCCUAAUUUAUUUUGCUCAGUUUCCUUUCCUUCUCUGCUGAAGCCAAUAAAAUGGACUGAGCAUUGUCAUCAAAGCAUCCUCACCACUUAAUGAGAGGCUGAAAACUGCAUGCUUAGGUGAACACAUAACAAGAAAGAAUUCUAUCUGGGAGAGAUACUGUGAGGAUUCUGCUCUUCAUCUGAGAAGUGGGACCAUAGAUGCUUGAUCUUGGGUUAUAAGAGAAUCAAAGAGGAAUACGUGGAGUGAUAAUUUGUAGUAGGUGACAGUGUUCAGUGAUGGAGACAAAGUACUGUCA
rnacentral:lncRNA from 1 species